UACGGGGGGGGCAAGCGUUGUUCGGAAUUACUGGGCGUAAAGGGUUCGUAGGUGGCUUGUUAAGUCAGACGUGAAAUCCCUCGGCUCAACCGGGGAACUGCGUCUGAGACUGAUGAGCUCGAGUGCAGGAGAGGAACGCGGAAUUCCAGGUGUAGCGGUGAAACGCGUAGAUAUCUGGAGGAACACCGGUGGCGAAGGCGGCGUUCUGGACUGCAACUGACACUGAGGAACGAAAGCCAGGGGAGCAAACGGG
rnacentral:rRNA from 1 species